rnacentral:rRNA from 1 species
AGUGAACGCUGGCGGCGUGCCUAAUACAUGCAAGUCGAACGGAGUGGCGCACGGGUGAGUAAUGUAUAGCUAAUCUGCCCUCCACUAGAGGACAACAGUUGGAAACGACUGCUACUACUCCAUAGUGUAGUUUGAGGCUAUCUUGUAUCAGCUAGUUGGUGAGGUAAUGGCGCACUAAGGCUAUGACGCAUAACUGGCCUGAGAGGAUGAUCAGUCAAACUGGAACUGAGACACCGUCGAGACACCUACGGAAGGCGGCAGUAGGCGAUAGUGGUCAGUGGGGGAGUACCUGAAGCAGCAACGCGGCGUAGAGGAUUACAAUUUUCGAGGCAUAAACUCCUUUUAUUAGGGAAACGGUACCUGACGAAGAAGCACCGGCUAACUCCGUGCCAGCAGCCGCGGUAAUUC